UAGUGCAAUGGCAUAAGCCAGCUUGACUGCGAGCGUGACGGCGCGAGCAGGUGCGAAAGCAGGUCAUAGUGAUCCGGUGGUUCUGAAUGGAAGGGCCAUCGCUCAACGGAUAAAAGGUACUCCGGGGAUAACAGGCUGAUACCGCCCAAGAGUUCAUAUCGACGGCGGUGUUUGGCACCUCGAUGUCGGCUCAUCACAUCCUGGGGCUGAAGUAGGUCCCAAGGGUAUGGCUGUUCGCCAUUUAAAGUGGUACGCGAGCUGGGUUUAGAACGUCGUGAGACAGUUCGGUCCCUAUCUGCCGUGGGCGCUGGAGAACUGAGGGGGGCUGCUCCUAGUACGAGAGGACCGGAGUGGACGCAUCACUGGUGUUCGGGUUGUCAUGCCAAUGGCACUGCCCGGUAGCUAAAUGCGGAAGAGAUAAGUGCUGAAAGCAUCUAAGCACGAAACUUGCCCCGAGAUGAGUUCUCCCUGACUCCUUGAGGGUCCUGAAGGAACGUUGAAGACGACGACGUUGAUAGGCCGGGUGUGUAAGCGCAGCGAUGCGUUGAGCUAACCGGUACUAAUGAACCGUGAGGCUUAACCUUACAACGCCGAAGGUGUUU
rnacentral:rRNA from 1 species